GAUGAAGAACGUAUCGAAAUGCGAUACGUAAUGUGAAUUGCAGAAUUCAGUGAAUCAUCGAAUCUUUGAACGCAUAUUGCGCUCUCUGGUAUUCCGGAGAGCAUGCUUGUUUGAGUAUCAGUAAACACCUCAACUUCCAUAUCUUUUUUGAAAUGGGAGUUGGACUUGAGUGAUCCCAACGCUUUUCCUCACCGAAAAGUGGCGGGUUACUUGAAAUGCAGGUGCAGCUGGACUUUUCUCUGAGCUAUAAGCAUAUCUAUUUAGUCUGCCUAAAAACAGAUUAUUACCUUUGCUGCAGCUAACAUAAAGGAGAUUAGUUCUUGUGCUGACUGAUGCAGGAUUCACAAAGACAGGCUUCGGCCGACUUUGUAAACUCGAUCUCAAAUCAAGUAAGACUACCCGCUGAACUUAAGCAUAUCAAUAGCGGAGGA
rnacentral:misc_RNA from 1 species